CCUACGGGAGGCAGCAGUGGGGAAUAUUGCACAAUGGGGGAAACCCUGAUGCAGCGACGCCGCGUGAGUGAAGAAGUAUUUCGGUAUGUAAAGCUCUGUCAGCAGGGAAGAAAAUGCCGGUACCUGACCAAGCAGCCCCGGCUAACUACGUGCCAGCAGCCGCGGUAAUACGGAGGGGGCAAGCGUUAUCCGGCUUUACUGGGUGUAAAGGGAGCGUAGACGGCAGGGCAAGUCUGGAGUGAAAGGCGGGGGGUCAACCCCCGGACUGCUCUGGAAACUGCGAGGCUGGAGUGCAGGAGAGGUAAGUGGAAUUCCUAGUGUAGCGGUGAAAUGCGUAGAUAGUAGGAGGAACCCCAGUGGCGAAGGCGGCUUACUGGACUGUAACUGACGUUGAGGCUCGAAAGCGUGGGGAGCAAACAGGAUUAGAUACCCCUGUAGUC
rnacentral:rRNA from 1 species